rnacentral:rRNA from 1 species
UACAGGGGGUGCAAACGUUGCUCGGAAUCAUUGGGCGUAAAGCGCACGUAGGCGGUUCGUUAUGUCGGAUGUGAAAGCCCUUGGCUUAACCGAGGAAGUGCAUCCGAAACUGGCGAGCUAGAGUACUAAAGAGGAUCGCGGAAUUCCCGGUGUAGAGGUGAAAUUCGUAGAUAUCGGGAGGAACACCGGUGGCGAAGGCGGCGAUCUGGGUAGACACUGACGCUGAGGUGCGAAAGCGUGGGGAGCAAACAGG